CGCACGGUGGGGUAAGGGGUUAAGUCUUUUUAAAGGUGUUUUAAAUCACGUGAGAUCAGAUUCUUUUUUGGUCCCUUGCUUAGCAGCUGUCUCUGCAAAACUUAAAACAGGCAAUUAACUCUAGCUGAUGCCACUGCUAUUUUUUUAUCUGAUGUCUUCUGCUCCAACACAGAACAGAGCCUGAGGGUGGC